AAUAAUUGUAAUGAGGACUCCUUUUGAGUUUGUAUACUCUCUAGUAGACAAUAUUUGUAUUCAAACUCACAGUUUAUGUUUGGUCAUAUUGUACACGACAAUUGUAUUAUUAAGUUGUAUUUGAAUUCUGUACGAUGUAUCUGGCGACUCAAGAUGGGUGAUGUAUACCUAAUUUUGGGGGCGUCACAUCCUGUCUAUGCGUUUACGCAUGACUUGGUUCCAUUAUUUAUUAUUCUGUUGGAAUAACAUGUUCGUGCGGUCUAUCGAAUGCCUGGUGAUUUCUUUUGUUAUUCCAUUCUGUAUUAU
rnacentral:lncRNA from 1 species